AAAAUCUCUGCAUUCUCAGAUUUCUUUCAAGUUCAUAUUGUGGAAAGGAAAUGGCUUGUGCUGCACAAGGGUUUCCUUGACUCGAAUCCUUACAUCUUGAAGUGUUAGAGAAAUUAGAGGAGUGGAGAGUGGAGGAAGGAGCUAUGCCAAGGCUUUUACAAUUAGAGAUCAAGUCGUGCAAUAAUUUGAAGAAGCUUCCUGAAGGCCUGCAACAUGUGAGCACCCUCAAGAAAUUGGAGUUAUGGUACAUGCCCGAUCAAUUCAUAGAAAGGCUUCGAAAAGACGAAGGAGAGGAUUGGCCUAAGAUUCGUCACAUACCCUCCAUUGACAUACACAAAUUGACAUGGCAAUCAUCAUGAGCAGCUGGAACAUGAUUGGAUAGUCAAGUUCAUCGUUUUAAUAACCAUCAUUGAAGACCAGCUUGGCGUGAUCUCAACAACGGAAGUGACUCAAUUUCUCCAUUUUGUUUGCAUUCUUGAUCUAGUAACUCUUCACCUAGCUGAUCAUCAGCUUCUCUGACAUGGACAAGGGCAUUGCCAACAUCAUGGCCACAACCACUUCUAUGAUCACAACAAAGUGUAUGCUCCUUUUUCUACCUGUUCUCAAGCAAUUUCUUUCAGGAGGUGUAUAUACAGCACACAUGUAUCCAGAAUUCAAUGCCGGGCUUUGAGAAGAUUGGCAUAAGAUUAAGCACAUACCUUCCAUGAACAAACCAAAAUAAUAAGAUGUGAUGACAUCAAAUUUAGCACUCGCAUCUCCUCUCUUUGGAGGCUACAUAAUAGACAUCAUCCUGGCAGGUGUAUCAAACAUUUGAGCAGUGUAUAAAGUGUCCCACCUCAUGAAGACGACCUUAUGCAAAAAUCGGGCUGGUUAACAAACCACUCAGGCCAGGCAUGUAUGUUCAACUAGCACAGCUAGCAAAUUUAUUUAAAAUGUAAAUACUUUCUGUAGGAGGUCACCUUAUGAGUGGAUUAACCUAAAUCUUUAAUACAAUAUGUGAAAUUGUAAUUUUCCUUUUGGUGGAAGUAUUGUAAUUACUUAUGGAAGAGCGGAGAUGUUUGGACUUUGUGGAUCCAAACUUUCAAGCCAUAUUGAAUGAGAAUGUGUAACGCCCCGAACUUUUCGAUA